UACGUAGGGUGCGAGCGUUAAUCGGAAUUACUGGGCGUAAAGCGUGCGCAGGCGGUUCUCCAAGUCCGUUGUGAAAGCCCCGGGCUCAACCUGCGAAUGGCAGUGGAAACUAGGGGACUGGAAUCUGGCAGAUGGGGGUGGAAUGCCGCGUGUAGCAGUGAAAUGCGUAGAGAUGCGGCGGAACACCGAUGGCGAAGGCAGCCCCCUGGGCUGAGAUUGACGCUCAGGCACGAAAGCGUGGGGAGCAAACAGG
rnacentral:rRNA from 1 species